rnacentral:lncRNA from 10 species
UUGUCAGAAAACCAACUAUCAGUCCUCUCAGAUAGCAUCAAGGGACUGAAAUUCACCAGAUCCCUGCAUCCAGAUGGUGAGACAGCAGACCCCUCAACCAUCAUAACUGACUAACCAACCACUUGCUUCUUGUUGACCUACUCCUCUUCCUUAUCCCUCCCUAAUUCCUGUUUUGGCACACAUAGUUACAUUCUUUCCCCACUCUACAAAACUCUAAUUUUAGUCAGGUGGAUUUGAGACUUAUCUCCCAUCUCCUGGCUGACAUCAUCCACAUUAAAACCUUCUUCCCUAGCAAUACUCGUUGUUUCAAUGGAUAGCUUUCGAUACAGUGAGAAACCACAGCUUGGCCAACACCCAGGCAUUCAGCAAUAAAAUUCUGGUGCUGUGACUUGGAUUGCAGUGCUUGUGGCUCAGUGGCCACAGGCUAGAGAGAUCUGGAAACCCUCCCAGCAGCUGCCCAGCUAUAUUCAUCCAGAGGCGGGUUUUUGUUUCUCUCUCUUCCCUCACUGCUGCUGGCCCCAACCAUAUUCUUGAUUACUUAUGAAGGACAGGCUUUGAAAUUUGACAUCUGUAUCCAUCAAGGUUGGAGUGCAGUGGCACGAUCUCAGCUCACUGAAAGCUCCGCCUCCCGGGUUCCCGCCAUUCUCCUGCCUCAGCCUCCCGAGUAGCUGGAACUACAGGCACCCGCCACCGCGCCUGGCUAAUUUUUUGUAUUUUUAGUAGAGACGGGGUUUCACCGUGUUAGCCAGGAUGGUCUCAAACUCCUGACCUCGUGAUCCGCCUGCCUCGCCUCCCAAAGUGCUGGAUUACAGGCGUGAGCCACCGCGCCCUGCCACAAGAGGGUAAGGAAACUGAAAUAUGACAAGGUUAAAUGAUUCAGAUGAGGGGCCGGAAAGCACGCCUCCCGAGACCCAUUCCUGGAAGCGGGUCUUUAAAGCUGCUCUCAGUUUAAAAUCAACCAAAUGCUCAGAUAUCAGAUGCGGAAACUGAGGCACAGGGAAUUUGAACAACUUGCUCAAGGUCAUAAAGCUAGAAGGAGGCACAGCCAAGCAUGGGCUUGUGUGACCUCAAAGCCUAUGUUCUCGCCACUGCUCUAAACUGUUUAUUCUGUUGGCUUGUCAUAAUGAUUGAAGACAAUGUAUAUAAAUCACAGAGGGUAGGACUCAGCUUGUAAUAUGUCCUCCAUACAUUUUAUCGAACAUUAUUAAUUAAUAAACAACAGAUAAAUAACAACAGUGCUUUGUUUGAUUAAAUUAUAUAUAUGAUUAUAUUUCUUCAGUGAAAUUGUUGGUUAUGCAUUUCUUACAAAUAAUUCACAAAUAUUAAUGAAUGUCUGUGUUGCAGCAGGCAUUUUGCUCACCACGGUGGACCUGGGGGUAUGUGAAAUAGGCACCAUCUCUGCUCUCACAAAUUUAAUACGUGCAGGCUGCUGGAUUGGACUAAAGUCCUGAGGAGAACUAUAACAAUCUCUUAGAGGGAACAGUGAUUAAACAGGGAUCAAUUGUGCCACCCAUAUAGCCUUCCUACUUACUGAUCAAGAAUGAUAGCAGACCUUAGCAAGUGCAAAUCAACAAGAGGAAUCCAAUGGUGCUAUUCACUACUAUGAAGCUUUUCAUUUUGCCUCUUACUAAGAUUUCAAAGCUAUUCUUGCCCCCCACCCCACACAAAAACAAAUACUGUGCAAUCUCACUUACAUGUGGAAUCUGAAAAAGUUGAACUCGUAGAAGCAGAGAGUACAAUAGUGGGUGCCAUGGGCUGGGGGUGGAGGAAAUGGGAGAUGAUAGUCAAGGGUACAAACUUUCAGUUAUAAGAUGAACAAGUUCUGGGGCUCUAAUGUACACGAUGGGUGGUGAUGAAUGUUUUAAUUAAUUUGAUUAUUGUAAGAAUUACACAAUGUAUACAUUUAUCUAAUCAUCAUAUUAUAUACCUU